AAUAAAAUGGCUGAAAUUUAGGCGAUAAAUUGUAAAUUUAUUAAUGAAAAUUAAAUUUUUCUUUUAUUA
rnacentral:tRNA from 1 species